UCCCUGGUGGCUCAGUGGUAAAGAACCUGCCUGCAGUGCAGGAGACCCAGGUUUGAUCGCUGGGUGGGGAA
rnacentral:tRNA from 1 species